GAAAACAUCAGAGCCCAACAAUGUGCUG
rnacentral:piRNA from 1 species